rnacentral:rRNA from 1 species
GACGAACGCUGGCGGCGUGCCUAAUACAUGCAAGUCGAGCGGAAGUUGGAGAGCUUGCUCUUCAACUUUAGCGGCGGACGGGUGAGUAACACGUGGGCAACCUGCCCUGCAGAUCGGGAUAACUCCGGGAAACCGGUGCUAAUACCGAAUAGUUUUCGCCACCUCCUGGUGGCGUACGGAAAGGCGGUUUCGGCUGUCACUGCAGGAUGGGCCCGCGGCGCAUUAGCUAGUUGGUGGGGUAACGGCCCACCAAGGCGACGAUGCGUAGCCGACCUGAGAGGGUGAUCGGCCACACUGGGACUAAGACACGGCCCAGACUCCUACGGGAGGCAGCAGUAGGGAAUCUUCCGCAAUGGACGAAAGGCUGACGGAGCAACGCCGCGUGAGUGACGAAGGUUUUCGGAUCGUAAAACUCUGUUGUGAGGGAAGAACAAGUACCAACUAACUACUGGUACCUUGGCGGUACCUCACCAGAAAGCCACGGCUAACUACGUGCCAGCAGCCGCGGUAACAC